ACUCCUACGGGCAGCAGAGUGGGGAAUUUUGCGCAAUGGGCGAAAGCCUGACGCAGCAACGCCGCGUGAGUGAUGAAGGCUUUCGGGUCGUAAAGCUCUGUCAAGGGGAAAGAAGUGUAUUGUGGUUAAUACCCGCGAUACUUGACGGUACCCCUAAAGGAAGCACCGGCUAACUCCGUGCCAGCAGCCGCGGUAAU
rnacentral:rRNA from 1 species